GCGAGUCUGAAUAGGGCGAAUGAGUAUUUGGUCGUAGACCCGAAACCAGGUGAUCUACCCUUGGUCAGGUUGAAGUUCAGGUAACACUGAAUGGAGGACCGAACCGACUUACGUUGAAAAGUGAGCGGAUGAACUGAGGGUAGCGGAGAAAUUCCAAUCGAACUUGGAGAUAGCUGGUUCUCUCCGAAAUAGCUUUAGGGCUAGCCUCAAGUGAUGAUUAUUGGAGGUAGAGCACUGUUUGGACGAGGGGCCCCUCUCGGGUUACCGAAUUCAGACAAACUCCGAAUGCCAAAUAAUUUAACUUGGGAGUCAGAAUGUGGGUGAUAAGGUCCAUAUUCGAAAGGGAAACAGCCCAGACCACCAGCUAAGGUCCCAAAAUAUAUGUUAAGUGGAAAAGGAUGUGGCGUUGCCCAGACAACUAGGAUGUUGGCUUAGAAGCAGCCAUCAUUUAAAGAGUGCGUAAUAGCUCACUAGUCGAGUGACACUGCGCCGAAAAUGUACCGGGGCUAAACAUAUUACCGAAGCUGUGGAUUGUCCUUUGGACAAUGGUAGGAGAGCGUUCUAAGGGCGUUGAAGCAUGAUCGCAAGGACAUGUGGAGCGCUUAGAAGUGAGAAUGCCGGUGUGAGUAGCGAAAGACGGGUGAGAAUCCCGUCCACCGAUUGACUAAGGUUUCCAGAGGAAGGCUCGUCCGCUCUGGGUUAGUCGGGUCCUAAGCUGAGGCCGACAGGCGUAGGCGAUGGAUAACAGGUUGAUAUUCCUGUACCACCAUUAUUCGUUUUAAGCGAUGGGGGGACGCAGUAGGAUAGGCGAAGCGUGCUGUUGGAGUGCACGUCCAAGCAGUGAGAUUGAGUGUUAGGCAAAUCCGGCACUCUUAAGAUUGAGCUGUGAU
rnacentral:rRNA from 1 species